rnacentral:rRNA from 1 species
UACGAAGGGGGCUAGCGUUGCUCGGAAUUACUGGGCGUAAAGCGUGCGUAGGUGGUUUGUUAAGUCAGGUGUGAAAUCCCUGGGCUCAACCUGGGAACUGCAUUUGAUACUGGCAGACUAGAGUGUGGUAGAGGGUGGUGGAAUUCCCGGUGUAGCGGUGAAAUGCGUAGAUAUCGGGAGGAACAUCAGUGGCGAAGGCGGCCACCUGGACCAACACUGACACUGAGGCACGAAAGCGUGGGUAGCAAACAGG